CGGGGCACUGGGAUGGGUGCUGUGGUAUUUUAAAUCACACAGGCACCCCACCCCACCCCACCUGAGAGCUGAGUUGUGUGCUCCAGCCCUGCCUGUCCCUGCAGAGCCCAGGCUGGCCCUGCUCACCCAGCUGUGUUGCACCUCUCAGUGCUUUGUGACACUGCUCAGUGCAUGGGUGUGUUGUCAUUUAGACCUAGUUUUUAAGUACAUGCUUUAGUUGGUAAAGCCAUUAAACUUCCCAUGGAAGAGAAUUCCUCAUGUAUUUUAGGGUCUUAUUGUGCUGAACAUACACAAUAAUGAUCAUCUAUAUGAGACAGGAUGGUGUUCCAUAAGAUGAUGACACAAUAAACCAGUUAAAGCCAAAGAUUAUUCUGGAUAUUCAACUUGAAAUUUAAAGUAUCAUCCAUUUUUUCCCCCUAGUGUUUUUAUACAACAGUGAUCACAAUGUACAUUAUAUUCCAUGUAAAUUGGAAUUAUUUGUACUUUUGAAAGCUGUAGAUGGAGGAGCUGGGAGAACACAGCUUGUAAAAUGCUCAGUCUCAGUGGCUUGCAUGCUAUUGUAGAAGAAUUCCUAAAGGAAUCCCAUCUGGAGGAGAGAACUGUAACACCUGUAAUUGUGAGAGCCUCUUCAGGUAUCUGUUUUGUGUCUUACCUGCAGCAGGGCAGGGUCUGACAGAGAGAGUUUCCCUUUUUCCUGCCCUGGUUUGGUUCUGAAGCACGGUCUGUUGUGCUGGAUGAGAAAUGAGGUGGGAUCUGGGAGAUGAUCCAAACCCAGGGGUCAGGGGGGCAUGUUUGGGUGCCAGGUCCUGUUGUGUUCUCACAUUUUAAAGAUUUUUUUUUUGUGAUUCACUUAGUGCAACCUGAAUCUCCUUUUACAACAAUAUUCUAAAGUAGUUUUGGAUACAGCAAAGUUCCUGUCUGGACUCUCUCCUGAUACAUUGUAAGGAAACUUUUUAUUUUCUUUUGGACUCUGUUGUAUCCUUGCACAUUAAAAUGGUUUUAGGGACCCAGCUGGGCAAUUUGUGUGUCUGUAGCUGUGAAGUAAAGGAGUGCCUGAGACAAUUUGGUCUUGUCCAGUUGGCACAUGCAGACAUGGCAGCUAACACCACUGAAAGCUUUGUGUUUUUCCUUUAUGUUGCUUUUGAAACCCAAAAGCUGUUUCAUAAGAGGAGAAAUAAAAAAGUGAGCUAGCAGGAAGCCAGCCUGGAGAGCUCCCAGUCGCAGUGUUUGUGUUCUGAACAGUGAGCCCAAAAUGGGAAGUGUUGGGUGAUGCUGACUGGUGACAACGAUGGCCUCAUCCCUUGGUGGAAGUGGGGAGCUCUCCUACCAGCUGGAUUUAUUUAUUUCUGGUUACUUUUCUGUUCUGCAGAACAAGUAGAGUAUAUUUCGUGCUAAAGUUCUGGAUGCCUUCUGCUGAUAUUUGCUGAGCUGCAGCUUCCAGCUCACGGUUUUUAAGUAUUUGCUCCUUUCAGAGCCAACCAAAGAGUGCACAGAUAUGAUGUGGAAUCAGUCUGGCUCUUUCCCAGGUAGGAUUCUCCAGGCUGGAGGUGGUUUUCAGGAGCAGGUUUGGAUCAAUAGUGGUCUUGUUCAAAGCUCUGGUUUAAGAGGAUAUAAAGGCACCCUGCAGGAAGCCUGGUCUUAAACAAGCACCACAAAGUCUCCUAUGAAGCAUUGUAGGGCUUCAUUCCAAGAGCUUUGGGUGACCAAAAGCAUGGAAUUGCAGAGUCUUCACACUUAGAAGCUGAUUCUUCUGUAAUAAAUUAUCUUCAGUCUCCUCGACCUCUGUUAAAAUCAAAAUCACAGUUUUUACCUAAAUGUUUAUUUUUCUGCUUCUAAGGAAAACUGGCUGGGGCCUGUGAACACCAAUCAUAUAAGAAAUACACCUUAGAUGUACAUAAUCAAAAAGAGUUGUUUUUUUCCUGGCCUUUAAGUUGUUGCCCAUGCUUUGAGGGCAUGAGGUUUGUCUCUAUCAUUUUACCUCUUCUUCCAUAACUUGGAUAGUAUCUGAGUACUCCAUUUCCAGAAAAGGCUUCUGCACUGAAACUCCCAGUUUUCAUCCAAUUUGUGGCUUUGAUUUAGUUUUUGUGCUGUUGGAGGUUACUUCUUUACAAUCAUACAAUAUUUGUUAUUUCUUUCCUCGUGUUUCCAGCAGCUAAACUUAAGACAGAUGAAAAACAGUGGUUGCCACUUGAAUAAUAUUUGCUAAUGCCAGAACAUGUUUAUGCAUUUACUGUAACUCCUCUGUACCUGUUAGCCAAGAUUUGGGCUGUGCAUUUACAGCUGGCAUAAAGGGGGUGCCACUACUUCCUGUAGAUUAAAAUUUAACCAUUCCAUGAGAUCAGAAAAUGUCUUUAGAUAACAAUUAGACAUCUUAGUUUGAUUAAGAAUUUUGCAAACUUUCUGAGCUGGCUUUAUGUAGUAAAAGUGAUUUCUCUGAGGUACAGGUUAUCUGGUGUAUAGUUUUGAAGUGACCAUCAGAUGUUUAGUGGAUACUACCUGCCUGUCCUUUAGUCCUAGUGUAACUUGUAUUUGGAAUUGUGACUCUUUCUUUACUCUCUUUGACACAUUAGUAGUGGGGAUGUCAGGUUUGUCAUGCAAUGGACAUACAUUAGAAAUAGUUUGUUUGAAAGCAGCAAUUGUUUGUCUUUAGCUUCUUUGACCAAGAACUGGCUAUUCCUGAUGAUGCUUUCACACAGAUUUCUGGAGAGAAUGAGCUCCAGAAUUCUGCAAAUUCCACCCUGUCCUUGAAGUUGAACAUGAAGGUGUAUACAUGAGUCACAGAGGCCAGGAUUGGUAGGAAGUGCCUAAAUUUAGGUUCUGAGUCCACGUUUUGAAACCCAAAUAAUUGACCUAAUUUUAAACUAACACAAUAGAACUAUGGCUGUCCUGUCUAUGUCCUUAAUAGCAACAAUUCCAAAAUUCUUGUAGUGACUUACAUCAGUCAGGCUGCUGAGUUUCAGCUGGAUAGAGAUAUUAUAACCCUGCUGGCAGUCAGCAUUGAAUCUGCACUGUGGAAGAGAUUCUAAUUUAAAAAACUUCAGUUCUCUUACUUGGCACAUUCCAAAGUGUUCAUGGCCUUGUCCUUCUUUUCCAAAAUGCUUUAUCUUUGUUAAAGAGACAUAGCCUGGCCUGUGGAGCAUGAGGUGGAGAAAACAAGGAAACCAAAUUUUCUGUUUCUGGUACAGAAGACAGAUUUCUUUGCUUGUAGGUAUUUAAAUCUUUUAAAAACCUCUGCUGGAAGCUGGGUUUUUUUUUAGUGGUAUCCCUUGUGGGUAUUUACUGCUGAUCAUUGUAAGCAGUUGAUGCUGGUGAGGCCAGCAAAUCCAUGUGUGCAGCUGUGGGAAAGCUCAAGCUGGGAAUGCUCCUUCUCUCCUUGCCAGGCAGCUCUGUAAAUUCCCUGGAAGGUUUCACAUCCCCCCCAGGAGUUCCAGGAUUCGGGGGGCAGGCAGAGCAUCCCGGGUCUCAGUCAUACUCACUCACCUAGUGACCACACAGUCAGUGCAUUUGCAGGUGUUAUUUUCAGGUCACUCGCAGGGUGCUGCCCUGGGGAGGCACCGGGGGCUGUGAUGCACCAUCUGGAAGGUACAGAAAAAACUCCUCAUUUUCAAACACAAGCCCUUGUGCUGGAGCCAAGGAGAGCAUUGGCCUUGGGGCAGUGCUAAGGGCUCUUUGUGUUCUGUAGAGAACACAAUCUGCUGGCCUCAAGUAAUUCUCCAUCCUUCAGAACAGUGCAGGAAUAUCUGUUUAGUGGAUACUUCAGCACAUAGUGGAAUUAGUUUAGUGGAAAAGGACUUUUUUAACAUUGGACAUAAAAUAGGAAGAAGCUGCUCUCCUGUAACAGCAUAAGGCCAGCUUUCUAACAAACCUUCUUGUAGGAGAUUUUUGCAAGAGAUUUCCUUUCAUAUUUUACUCUUUGAUCCAUGGGGAGAGAGGUCUGAUGGGGCAGAGCAUGUGAAGGGUGACUGAUACUUCCAAAUCCAGGCAUUACUUCUGAUCUUUGGUGACUCUGGAGCUAAUUGGUUUUGAAUAUAAUACUGAAAAAUCUUCCUACUUUUUUCAUUAAAAGGCUUUUCAGGUAUCUAACUUGGGCAGCCUGAACUGUGACAUCGACUUAAAAUGUUCCAAAGAACUUUUCUGUCAGAAAUUACUUCUGUGAAUUUGUUUUCAUGGUAUCAUGAUCAGUAUUUACAACCUUCCUGUGUUCAGUGUUUUGCAGGAAUAGGUAGAUGGGGAAGUACUGCCUACAAAGGAUUCUCUACAGUCCAAAAGAAGCCAGAGAAUAGGUAGAUUUUUCUAGCACUUUAAUUCAUAGCUGAAGGCACUGCCUUGUAAUACUGCUGGGCUUGGUUUAUCUGUUGGAAAUAAAGUUGAGGGUAGAGGCAGAGUAAAAAUAAGAGCAAGGGUGAAACUAAAGCAAAAGAAGACCAUGAGACAGGAUCCUGCUGUGCUGGAGCUCUUGGGGGCUCUCCUUGACCUGACAGGUACAGGGAAGAAGUUGCUAAAAUGUGUUAGGACAGGCUGACCAUUGAGUAUCCAGGAAGAGAUCACUGGAAAGGAAAAGCAGAGGCCAGACUGAGUAAGAAGUAGACUUGUAGUAUGAAUUUGUUGAAAGGUUGACCUAUUU